GACGAACGCUGGCGGCGUGCUUAACACAUGCAAGUCGAACGGAAAGGCCCUGCUUUUGUGGGGUGCUCGAGUGGCGAACGGGUGAGUAACACGUGAGUAACCUGCCCUUGACUUUGGGAUAACUUCAGGAAACUGGGGCUAAUACCGGAUAGGAGCUCCUGCUGCAUGGUGGGGGUUGGAAAGUUUCGGCGGUUGGGGAUGGACUCGCGGCUUAUCAGCUUGUUGGUGGGGUAGUGGCUUACCAAGGCUUUGACGGGUAGCCGGCCUGAGAGGGUGACCGGCCCCAUUGGGACUGGGGUACGGCCCAGACUCCUACGGGAGGCAGCAGUGGGGAAUAUUGCACAAUGGGCGGAAGCCUGAUGCAGCAACGCCGCGUGCGGGAUGACGGCCUUCGGGUUGUAAACCGCUUUCGCCUGUGACGAAGCGUGAGUGACGGUAAUGGGUAAAGAAGCACCGGCUAACUACGUG
rnacentral:rRNA from 1 species